rnacentral:rRNA from 1 species
AGCGAAACCACAGCCAAGGGAACGGGCUUGGCAAAAUUAGCGGGGAAAGAAGACCCUGUUGAGCUUGACUCUAGUCCGACUUUGUGAAGAGACAUGAGGGGUGUAGCAUAAGUGGGAGCUUCGCGGCGCAAUUGAAAUACCACUACUUUUAUCGUUUCUUUACUUAUUCAGUGAAGCCGGAGAGCCGGGGCGCAAGCCCCCUGACUUCUGGCUUUAAGCGCCCGACCUUCGCGGCCGGGCGCGAUCCGCUCUGAAGACAGUGUCAGGCGGGGAGUUUGACUGGGGCGGUACAUCUGUCAAAAGGUAACGCAGGUGUCCUAAGGUGAGCUCAGUGAGGACGGAAACCUCACGUAGAGCAAAAGGGCAAAAGCUCACUUGAUUUUGAUUUUCAGUACGAAUACAGACCGUGAAAGCGUGGCCUAUCGAUCCUUUUGACUUUAAGAGUUUUAAGCAAGAGGUGUCAGAAAAGUUACCACAGGGAUAACUGGCUUGGGCAGCC